rnacentral:misc_RNA from 1 species
GAAAUGCGAUAAGUAAUGUGAAUUGUAGAAUUCAGUGAAUCAUCGAAUCUUUGAACGCACCUUGCGCUCCUUGGUAUUCCUUGGAGCAUGCCUGUUUGAGUAUCAUGAAAUCUUCAAAGUAAAUCUUUUGUUAACUCAAUUGGUUUCUACUUUGGUAUUGGAGGUCUUUGCAGCUUCACACCUGCUCCUCUUUGUUCAUUAGCUGGAUCUCAGUGUUAUGCUUGGUUCCACUCGGCGUGAUAAGUUAUCUAUCGCUGAGGACACUGUAAAAGGUGGCCAAGGUAAACGCAGAUGAACCGCUUCUAAUAGUCCAUUGACUUGGACAAUACUUUUAUGAUCUGAUCUCAAAUCAGGUAGGACUACCCGCUGAACUUAAGC